GAUGGACGCUGGCGGCGUGCUUAACACAUGCAAGUCGAGCGAAGCACUCUGAUUUCUUCGGAAUGAUCUUUCUUUGACUGAGUGGCGGACGGGUGAGUAACACGUGAGCAACCUGCCUUUCAGAGCGGGAUAGCAGUUGGAAACGACUGAUAAUACCGCAUGACAUGUUUUCUCCGCAUGAGGAAACAUCAAAUGAUUUUUCGCUGAAAGAUGGGCUCGCGUCCGAUUAGGUAGUUGGUGAGGCAACGGCUCACCAAGCCGACGAUCGGUAGCCGGACUGAGAGGUCGAUCGGCCACAUUGGGACUGAGAUACGGCCCAG
rnacentral:rRNA from 1 species